CAGGCUGCAACUCGCCUGCAUGAAGUUGGAAUUGCUAGUAAUCGCGAAUCAGAAUGUCGCGGUGAAUACGUUCCCGGGCCUUGUACACACCGCCCGUCACACCAUGAGAGUCGAUAACACCCGAAGCCUGUGAGCUAACCGCAAGGGGGCAGCAGUCGAAGGUGGGGUUNAUGAUUGGGGUGAAGUCGUAACAAGGUACC
rnacentral:rRNA from 1 species